UGGGGAAUAUUGGACAAUGUGCGAAAGCCUGAUCCAGCCAUGCCGCGUGUGUGAAGAAGGUCUUCGGAUUGUAAAGCACUUUAAGUUGGGAGGAAGGGCAUUAACCUAAUACGUUAGUGUUUUGACGUUACCGACAGAAUAAGCACCGGCUAACUCUGUGCCAGCAGCCGCGGUAAUACAGAGGGUGCAAGCGUUAAUCGGAAUUACUGGGCGUAAAGCGCGCGUAGGUGGUUUGUUAAGUUGGAUGUGAAAUCCCCGGGCUCAACCUGGGAACUGCAUUCAAAACUGACUGACUAGAGUAUGGUAGAGGGUGGUGGAAUUUCCUGUGUAGCGGUGAAAUGCGUAGAUAUAGGAAGGAACACCAGUGGCGAAGGCGACCACCUGGACUAAUACUGACACUGAGGUGCGAAAGCGUGGGGAGCAAACA
rnacentral:rRNA from 1 species